GUCUACAGCGAUGCCACCCUGAACACGCCCGAUAUCAUCUGAUCUCGGAAGCUAAGCAGAGUUGGGCCUGGUUAGUACUUGGAUAGGAGACCACCAAGAGUACUGGAUGCUGUAGGCU
rnacentral:rRNA from 1 species